ensembl:snoRNA
AAAGCAGGACGCAAUUACAGUGCUAAACUCUUUUGUGGGAGUACUGCCAUUAUCCUGCUGAGAGCAUCUUCUGCUGUGGAGUCUUGAUUACUGUCAUCUCUAUAUGACCAGUGAACGCUCUGCUGUGGAGACAU